GAUGAACGCUGGCGGCGUGCCUAAUACAUGCAAGUCGAGCGAAUGGAUUAAGAGCUUGCUCUUAUGAAGUUAGCGGCGGACGGGUGAGUAACACGUGGGUAACCUGCCCAUAAGACUGGGAUAACUCCGGGAAACCGGGGCUAAUACCGGAUAACAUUUUGAACCGCAUGGUUCGAAAUUGAAAGGCGGCUUCGGCUGUCACUUAUGGAUGGACCCGCGUCGCAUUAGCUAGUUGGUGAGGUAACGGCUCUCCAAGGCAACGAUGCGUAGCCGACCUGAGAGGGUGAUCGGCCACACUGGGACUGAGACACGGCCCAGACUCCUACGGGAGGCAGCAGUAGGGAAUAUUCCGCAAUGGACGAAAGUCUGACGGAGCAACGCCGCGUGAGUGAUGAAGGCUUUCGGGUCGUAAAACUCUGUUGUUAGGGAAGAACAAGUGCUAGUUGAAUAAGCUGACACCUUGACGGUACCUAACCAGAAAGCCACGGCUAACUACGUGCCAGCAGCCGCGGUAA
rnacentral:rRNA from 1 species